rnacentral:tRNA from 1 species
GGAGAGGUGCGAGAGUGGUUGAAUCGGGCGGUCUCGAAAACCGUUGUACCGCAAGGUACCGUGGGUUCGAAUCCCACCCUCUCCGCCA